GAUACCCUACUAUACUAGAAGAAUGGUUAGUAAGCUAGAUUAUUAAUAGAUAUGUUCUUUAAAUUUGAAGAAUUUGGCGGUGAUUUAGUCUUGUCAGAGGAACCUGUUUUUGAAUCGAUAAACCACGCAGAAUCUUACUCACUUUUGUUAAUAUUACAGCUUAUAUACCAUCAUUAGCAGAUAAUUUUAAAAGAAAUAAUUAUUAAAGUUUAUAAAGUUAAAUAAAAUUAGAUCAAGGUGUAGCUUAUAAGUGAGUUAAAAUGGGUUACAAUGAAAUUUAUUUAUUACGUAAAAAUUAAGGAAUAAAUUAAUUUAAAGGAGGAUUUGAUUGUAAUGUAAGUUUAAUAUGCUUAGGAGAUAUAAGCCCUAAAUCAUGUACAU
rnacentral:rRNA from 1 species